rnacentral:tRNA from 1 species
GGGGCUAGCUCAGCUGGGAGAGCGCCUGCUUUGCACGCAGGAGGUCUGCGGUUCGAUCCCGCAUAGCUCCACCA